rnacentral:rRNA from 1 species
GCAGAGCACUCCUACGGGAGGCAGCAGUGGGGAAUAUUGCACAAUGGGCGCAAGCCUGAUGCAGCAACGCCGCGUGAGUGAAGAAGGCCUUCGGGUUGUAAAACUCUGUCCUAAGGGAAGAAACAAAUGACGGUACCUUAGGAGGAAGCCCCGGCUAACUACGUGCCAGCAGCCGCGGUAAUACGUAGGGGGCAAGCGUUAUCCGGAAUCACUGGGCGUAAAGGGUGCGUAGGUGGCCUGACAAGUCAGGGGUGAAAGGCAUUGGCUCAACCAAUGUAAGCCUUUGAAACUGUUGGGCUUGAGUGCAGGAGAGGUAAGUGGAAUUCCUAGUGUAGAGGUGAAAUUCGUAGAUAUUAGGAGGAACACCAGUGGCGAAGGCGACUUACUGGACUGUAACUGACACUGAGGCACGAAAGCGUGGGUAGCGAACAGGAUUAGAUACCCUGGUAG